AUUGAACGCUGGCGGCAGGCCUAACACAUGCAAGUCGAGCGAGCGGCGAACGGGUGCGAAUUGUAUGGGGACUGCCCGAUAGCGGGGGAUAACUACUGGAAACGGUGUCUAUUACAGCAUACGCUCGGCUACCCCAUAUGGGAUUAGAUAGUAGGUAAGGUAAUGGCUUACCUAGGCGACGAUCCCGAGCUGGUCUGAGAGGAUGAUCAGCCACACGGGAACUGAGACACGGCCCAGCUGCGUACGGAGGCAGCAGUGGGGAAUAUUGCACAAUGGGCGCAAGCCUGAUGCAGCCAUGCCGCGUGGAGGAAGAAGGCCCUAGGGUUGUAAAGUACUUUCAGUCGGGAGGCGUUACCGGCAGAAGAAGCACCGGCUAACUCCGUGCCAGCAGCCGCGGUAAUAC
rnacentral:rRNA from 1 species